rnacentral:lncRNA from 1 species
CUGUAGCAGACCUCUGUGGAAUAAGCUCUCAGUGAGUGAUGCAGCCUAAAUGCAUUAAAUGUUUGGAGGAGAGGAAGCAGGAGGAAGUCUGGAAACCUGCACAGAGCCAGCGCACAGGUGGCGUUAAUGCAAGAGCCCAUGAGCACGGGCUGGAAGGGAGGCAGGAACCUGAAAGUGGAAGUGCUGCUAACCUUUAGAGAUGAAAACUUUUUGGAGUCCUAGGAGAGAAGCAAAGUGAACUGAUUUCAAAAUCUGAAUGAGCUUGGGAAAGAUUUGUCACUGUUCAUCCAGCUCUUGAUGUGAACCAGGGUGACAGUCGGUGCUGUUGGUGGGGUCAUGAGGGAAGGUCCCAGCUGCUGACCCUUGCUGCGCUUGGUCUUUCAGUGCAGAGCAGCUCCUGAGCACAGAUGCUGGAGGAGUGCACCCAACCACUACUUGCUGCUCUGUCCAUGGGACCAACUAGAGCUACAUGACCAUAAAACAGCCAAAAUAGGUACUGGGCUCUCAGCACAGCUGGUUCACUCCAUUGAUCUGCUUCUGUUGAGUUGCAAUGCUCGCUAAUGGAAUUGUAGUCAAAAUCUAUUUGGGAUACCGAUGCUAGGUAUGUUUUAUGCACUGCUAAGUCAUGACAAAUAACGUGAGAUCUUACGUCAUACUUGUGUGUCUGACCCAGACUAGGUCUUUGGUUUCUUCAAACAGAUAUG